CGCCGCGUCUUACGUUCCGAAGCCACCGUAUAGCUCUGUGUUCUAUCACUCGCGAAGCCACGCGGACAUUGUGAAAGUGUGAUUACAACGAUUUCUCGGUAGUGAGAGUAAGCCGAGUGCACCCGCGACACUAGCGUCUAAAUUUAGUGGUGUGAAAUUGUCUCGCGAAUAUAAGAGAGUUCAAUGGAAGCCAGGUUCGUGACCUGCCGGAGCUUCCAGCAGAUCAAGCCGCCCGAAAAGAGUUUAGCACCGCCACCGACGGUGAAGGGCCUGCUGUCUCGCUUCGGAAGCCAAGCUCAGGCUUUAUUUGCGCCUAAGAAACAAAGAUUCGGUUCUUCGGUUGCAAUCCACAAAUUAAGGGAGUCAAAGUGGUUUAAGCAUGAGGAACAGAAUAUUCUGUGCGCCGUGCUCGAAUCCGGAUUCGUUCUGGAAGUCAGAGCUGAAGAUCCAUUGCCGCCUGACACGACGUUGUCCCCAGACUACCAUAUGUACGCCAUUGCCAUGUGGAAGAAGGGUAAAGAAAAAACAAAGAACCCGGAACAGAUAGAGGUGUACACAGUGCAGCAAAAAGGCGUGCGUAAACGUAUUAUCAAGACUACUUUGGGAGCCUUCUGGAAGAAAGAUUCCGUUAUAAGAAUCAACAACGUUGAUGACAAACAAGAGACGCCCAACAGCGAAAAAGACAUCAGGGCUAAGCUUGACAUGGCAACAAAAUCCAGAUUUGAACGUAACUGGCAUAAUACACUGCAUUUCGUCCACUGGUGCCGAUACGGGGAGACUCCACAAGAAGCUAGAAUGAGACAGAUCAGCUUAACGACGUCGAAAACACCCAUGAUUAUCAUAUUUUGAUGGUAAUCGUUGAGGCGCUUUGGACAAAACGGCUGGCACCUUUAAUAUUACCGAUAAGCGAGUCGCUAAAGUGGGGCAACAUCGGCAUGAAUAUGGGUGUGAUGCUCGUCAGCCAAAACAACGCCCGCGCUAAAGCGAAGUCCGUUUGAGUGUCGCAGGCCGGCAACGCCGGCACAUGCUACGCUUGUUUCUGGCAACCCUCGCCAGGAAAUAUCGAUUUCGUUUAAAUUUCGAAUACGUUCAUUCCAUUUUUUUAAUUCGAUCUUUUAAACAACGAUAUGGAAUUUAAAAUAUUUACAAUUAAAUAUUAGUAUUUCGGAAUUGGGUAAACAAUACGGAAUCUCUCGCAUUAUCUUUUAGAUUGAGGUCCGAAUGGUUGUUUAUGGACAACUAAAUUGUAAAAUUCGUUGACGCGACAUACACGUGGUUUUGAAUUUGGAAUCAUCGAUGAUUUAAUUUCUUUUUUAACCAAGAUUUUAUUAACUUCCAUUGUAAAUAAAACUAGUUGACAUUAAAACAAGUAUAUUUUUGAAAUAGUGUGAGGGAUGAAGAAGCUUUAAUUUUUCUCUAGAAAUUGAUUUGAUUCUAACAUUCCUGAUAUAAAGAAAAGACGCCCCGCGGCUUCGAAUGAGUAUGUUGUAUGUUUUAAUUUAAUCGUUUUAUCCACGAGUGUAGUCAUUAUUAUUAUCCGACGAAUGUUUACACUUAGGGCGAUAAUUUUACGUUCACUAUUAUUGCUAAGAUUUUCGACUUUAUAAGACUGUUCUGAUUAAAAACAAAAUAAUUAUUAAACUACGAAAAACGUGUUAAAUGUAAAUAAUUCGAUUUAAUAAAUAAAUGAUAAAAUUAAGAAAACAUAUUCUAGACGUUAGAAAAAUUAAAAAAUUUUAAAAGAAUAAUUAAUAUACAUGAUUUUUCGUAGUUUUUAAUUUGAUAAGUAUUGUUAAGUAUUCGUAUUAAUAGUUAACGACAAUUGAAAUAAAUGUUUGUGAUUCGUCUUCGACUGUUUGAAUUACGCAUUAAUAUAAGCA